rnacentral:lncRNA from 1 species
AUGCUGGGAGUGGGAGGGGCCGAGGGUGGGAGAGAGGAUGCUGGGAGUGGGAGGGGUCAGGGAGUGGGAGAGAGGAUGCUGGGAGUGGGAGGGGCCGGGAGUGGGAGAGAGGAUGCUGGGAGUGGGAGGGGCCGGGGGGUGGGAGAGAGGAUGCUGGGAGUGGGAGGGGCCGGGGGUGGGAGAGAGGAUGCUGGGAGUGGGAGAGAGGAUGCUGGGAGUGGGAGAGGAUGCUGGGAGUGGGAGAGGAUGCUGGGAGUGGGAGGGCCUGGGAGUGGGAGAGAGGAUGCUGGGAGUGGGAGGGGCUGGAAGUGGGAGAGAGGAUGCUGGGAGUGGGAGGGGCCAGGGGGUGGGAGGGAGCAAGGAGAGGGAGAAGAGGGGUUCUGGGUGGGAAGGAUUGGGGAGCAGGAGGAGGGGAAUCCUGCAGCUGGAGGGGCCACAGCUGUGCGCAAGGAAAACGGGGGCGGAAAUGAAAUGUUAGGGCCGGUGGACACUGGCCUUUCAGCAUCUCCCAAAGAUGAGAAGGGCCCUCCGUCUCUGAUUAUGACUGCUUCUGUGACAUGUAAGGCACAAAAAUUAUCCUGUGAGGUCGGACACCAGAGAAACCCACGGGCACUGGGCUGUCUGGAGGAUAUUUUAAGGUUUCUGAAUGAAAAAUAA